rnacentral:rRNA from 1 species
CUUUUGGGUCUUAUAAUUGGAAUGAGUACAAUUUAAAUCCCUUAACGAGGAACAAUUGGAGGGCAAGUCUGGUGCCAGCAGCCGCGGUAAUUCCAGCUCCAAUAGCGUAUAUUAAAGUUGUUGCAGUUAAAAAGCUCGUAGUUGAACUUCAGACCUGGCUGGAUGGUCUGCCUAACGGUAUGUACUGUCCGGCUGGGCCUUACCUCUUGGUGAGCCGGCAUGCCCUUCACUGGGUGUGUCGGGGAACCAGGACUUUUACCUUGAGAAAAUUAGAGUGUUCAAAGCAGGCUUAUGCUCGAAUACAUUAGCAUGGAAUAAUAAAAUAGGACGUGCGGUUCUAUUUUGUUGGUUUUUAGAGUCGCCGUAAUGAUUAAUAGGGAUAGUUGGGGGCAUUAGUAUUCAGUUGCUAGAGGUGAAAUUCUUGGAUUUACUGAAGACUAACUACUGCGAAAGCAUUUGCCAAGGAUGUUUUCAUUAAUCAAGAACGAAGGUUAGGGGAUCGAAAACGAUCAGAUACCGUUGUAGUCUUAACAGUAAACUAUGCCGACUAGGGAUCGGGCGAACUCAAUUUUAUGUGUCGCUCGGCACCUUACGAGAAAUCAAACUCUUUGGGUUCUGGGGGGAGUAUGGUCGCAAGGCUGAAACUUAAAGGAAUUGACGGAAGGGCACCACCAGGAGUGGAGCCUGCGGCUUAAUUUGACUCAACACGGGGAAACUCACCAGGUCCAGACAUGACUAGGAUUGACAGAUUGAUAGCUCUUUCAUGAUUUUAUGGGUGGUGGUGCAUGGCCGUUCUUAGUUGGUGGAGUGAUUUGUCUGGUUAAUUCCGAUAACGAACGAGACCUUAUCCUGCUAAAUAGCCAGGCCGGCUUUUGCUGGUCGCCGGCUUCUUAGAGGGACUGCGGUUGCGUCUAGCCCGCGGAAGUUUGAGGCAAUAACAGGUCUGUGAUGCCCUUAGAUGUUCUGGGCCGCACGCGCGCUACACUGACAGAGCCAGCGAGUUUUUCACCUUGGCCGGAAGGUCUGGGUAAUCUUGUGAAACUCUGUCGUGCUGGGGAUAGAGCAUUGCAAUUAUUGCUCUUCAACGAGGAAUUCCUAGUAAGCGUGAGUCAUCAGCUCGCGUUGAUUACGUCCCUGCCCUUUGUACACACCGCCCGUCGCUACUACCGAUUGAAUGGCUUAGUGAGGUCUUCGGAUUGGCUUCGGAGGGCCG